rnacentral:rRNA from 1 species
GUGGGGAAUAUUGGACAAUGGGGGCAACCCUGAUCCAGCCAUGCCGCGUGAGUGAAGAAGGCCUUCGGGUUGUAAAGCUCUUUCGACGGGGACGAUGAUGACGGUACCCGUAUAAGAAGCCCCGGCUAACUUCGUGCCAGCAGCCGCGGUAAUACGAAGGGGGCUAGCGUUGUUCGGAAUUACUGGGCGUAAAGCGCGCGUAGGCGGCGACCUUUGUCAGAGGUGAAAUCCCGAGGCUCAACUUCGGAAUUGCCUUUGAAACGGGGUUGCUUGAGUCCGAGAGAGGAUGGCGGAAUUCCUAGUGUAGAGGUGAAAUUCGUAGAUAUUAGGAAGAACACCGGUGGCGAAGGCGGCCAUCUGGCUCGGUACUGACGCUCAGGCGCGAAAGCGUGGGGAUCAAACAGGAUUAGAAACCCUGGUAGUCC